UCAUAUUGAACGCUGGCGGCAGGCCUAACACAUGCAAGUCGAGCGGUAGCACAGAGAGCUUGCUCUCGGGUGACGAGCGGCGGACGGGUGAGUAAUGUCUGGGAAACUGCCUGAUGGAGGGGGAUAACUACUGGAAACGGUAGCUAAUACCGCAUAAUGUCGCAAGACCAAAGUGGGGGACCUUCGGGCCUCAUGCCAUCAGAUGUGCCCAGAUGGGAUUAGCUAGUAGGUGGGGUAACGGCUCACCUAGGCGACGAUCCCUAGCUGGUCUGAGAGGAUGACCAGCCACACUGGAACUGAGACACGGUCCAGACUCCUACGGGAGGCAGCAGUGGGGAAUAUUGCACAAUGGGCGCAAGCCUGAUGCAGCCAUGCCGCGUGUGUGAAGAAGGCCUUCGGGUUGUAAAGCACUUUCAGCGGGGAGGAAGGCGGUGAGGUUAAUAACCUCACCGAUUGACGUUACCCGCAGAAGAAGCACCGGCUAACUCCGUGCCAGCAGCCGCGGUAAUACGGAGGGUGCAAGCGUUAAUCGGAAUUACUGGGCGUAAAGCGCACGCAGGCGGUCUGUCAAGUCGGAUGUGAAAUCCCCGGGCUCAACCUGGGAACUGCAUUCGAAACUGGCAGGCUAGAGUCUUGUAGAGGGGGGUAGAAUUCCAGGUGUAGCGGUGAAAUGCGUAGAGAUCUGGAGGAAUACCGGUGGCGAAGGCGGCCCCCUGGACAAAGACUGACGCUCAGGUGCGAAAGCGUGGGGAGCAAACAGGAUUAGAUACCCUGGUAGUCCACGCCGUAAACGAUGUCGAUUUGGAGGUUGUGCCCUUGAGGCGUGGCUUCCGGAGCUAACGCGUUAAAUCGACCGCCUGGGGAGUACGGCCGCAAGGUUAAAACUCAAAUGAAUUGACGGGGGCCCGCACAAGCGGUGGAGCAUGUGGUUUAAUUCGAUGCAACGCGAAGAACCUUACCUGGUCUUGACAUCCGCAGAACUUUCCAGAGAUGGAUUGGUGCCUUCGGGAACUGUGAGACAGGUGCUGCAUGGCUGUCGUCAGCUCGUGUUGUGAAAUGUUGGGUUAAGUCCCGCAACGAGCGCAACCCUUAUCCUUUGUUGCCAGCGGUCCGGCCGGGAACUCAAAGGAGACUGCCAGUGAUAAACUGGAGGAAGGUGGGGAUGACGUCAAGUCAUCAUGGCCCUUACGACCAGGGCUACACACGUGCUACAAUGGCAUAUACAAAGAGAAGCGACCUCGCGAGAGCAAGCGGACCUCAUAAAGUAUGUCGUAGUCCGGAUUGGAGUCUGCAACUCGACUCCAUGAAGUCGGAAUCGCUAGUAAUCGUAGAUCAGAAUGCUACGGUGAAUACGUUCCCGGGCCUUGUACACACCGCCCGUCACACCAUGGGAGUGGGUUGCAAAAGAAGUAGGUAGCUUAACCUUCGGGAGGGCGCUUACCACUUUGUGAUUCA
rnacentral:rRNA from 1 species